AGAGUUUGAUCCUGGCUCAGGAUGAACGCUGGCGGCGUGCUUAACACAUGCAAGUCGAACGAACCUUCGGGUUAGUGGCGGACGGGUGAGUAACGCGUGAGAAUCUGCCCUCAGGAGGGGGAUAACGGUUGGAAACGACCGCUAAUACCCCAUAUGCCGCGAGGUGAAAUGAAUUUCGCCUGAGGAUGAGCUCGCGUCUGAUUAGCUAGUUGGUGGGGUAAAGGCCUACCAAGGCAUCGAUCAGUAGCUGGUCUGAGAGGAUGAUCAGCCACACUGGGACUGAGACACGGCCCAGACUCCUACGGGAGGCAGCAGUGGGGAAUUUUCCGCAAUGGGCGAAAGCCUGACGGAGCAACGCCGCGUGAGGGAUGAAGGCCUCUGGGCUGUAAACCUCUUUUAUCAAGGAAGAAGAUCUGACGGUACUUGAUGAAUAAGCCACGGCUAAUUCCGUGCCAGCAGCCGCGGUAAUACGGGAGUGGCAAGCGUUAUCCGGAAUUAUUGGGCGUAAAGCGUCCGCAGGCGGCCCAGAAAGUCUGCUGUUAAAACGUGGAGCUUAACUCCAUCAUGGCAGUGGAAACUGUUGGGCUUGAGUGUGGUAGGGGCAGAGGGAAUUCCCGGUGUAGCGGUGAAAUGCGUAGAUAUCGGGAAGAACACCAGUGGCGAAGGCGCUCUGCUGGGCCAUCACUGACGCUCAUGGACGAAAGCCAGGGGAGCGAAAGGGAUUAGAUACCCCUGUAGUCCUGGCCGUAAACGAUGAACACUAGGUGUCGGGGGAAUCGACCCCCUCGGUGUCGUAGCCAACGCGUUAAGUGUUCCGCCUGGGGAGUACGCACGCAAGUGUGAAACUCAAAGGAAUUGACGGGGGCCCGCACAAGCGGUGGAGUAUGUGGUUUAAUUCGAUGCAACGCGAAGAACCUUACCAGGGUUUGACAUCCUGCGAAUCUCUUGGAAACGAGAGAGUGCCUUCGGGAACGCAGUGACAGGUGGUGCAUGGCUGUCGUCAGCUCGUG
rnacentral:rRNA from 1 species